CCUGCCUCUAGAAGCACUGCAGGAGAGGCUGCUGUGAGUGCAUCAGUAUGCGGCAGAGGGGAGAGCGGCUAUGUCUAGGCUCAUGUUCUGACCUAUGUAUAUCUGAAGGAUUAGUAGCCUAACAUU